CCGGAAUCCUUGAGAGCGGCGCACGGGUGCGGAACACGUGUGCAACCUGCCUUUAUCUGGGGGAUAGCCUUUCGAAAGGAAGAUUAAUACCCCAUAAUAUAUUGAGUGGCAUCACUUGAUAUUGAAAACUCCGGUGGAUAGAGAUGGGCACGCGCAAGAUUAGAUAGUUGGUGAGGUAACGGCUCACCAAGUCAAUGAUCUUUAGGGGGCCUGAGAGGGUGAUCCCCCACACUGGUACUGAGACACGGACCAGACUCCUACGGGAGGCAGCAGUGAGGAAUAUUGGACAAUGGGUGAGAGCCUGAUCCAGCCAUCCCGCGUGAAGGACGACUGCCCUAUGGGUUGUAAACUUCUUUUAUACUGGGAUAAACCUACCCUUCGUGAGGGUAGCUGAAGGUACAGUAUGAAUAAGCACCGGCUAACUCCGUGCCAGCAGCCGCGGUAAUACGGAGGGUGCAAGCGUUAUCCGGAUUUAUUGGGUUUAAAGGGUCCGUAGGCGGACUCGUAAGUCAGUGGUGAAAUCUCAUAGCUUAACUAUGAAACUGCCAUUGAUACUGCGGGUCUUGAGUAAAGUAGAAGUGGCUGGAAUAAGUAGUGUAGCGGUGAAAUGCAUAGAUAUUACUUAGAACACCAAUUGCGAAGGCAGGUCACUAUGUUUUAACUGACGCUGAUGGACGAAAGCGUGGGGAGCGAACAGGAUUAGAUACCCUGGUAGUCCACGCCGUAAACGAUGCUAACUCGUUUUUGGGUUUUCGGAUUCAGAGACUAAGCGAAAGUGAUAAGUUAGCCACCUGGGGAGUACGUUCGCAAGAAUGAAACUCAAAGGAAUUGACGGGGGCCCGCACAAGCGGUGGAUUAUGUGGUUUAAUUCGAUGAUACGCGAGGAACCUUACCAAGGCUUAAAUGGGAAUUGACAGGUUUAGAAAUAGAUCCUUCUUCGGACAAUUUUCAAGGUGCUGCAUGGUUGUCGUCAGCUCGUGCCGUGAGGUGUUAGGUUAAGUCCUGCAACGAGCGCAACCCCUGUCACUAGUUGCCAUCAUUCAGUUGGGGACUCUAGUGAGACUGCCUACGCAAGUAGAGAGGAAGGUGGGGAUGACGUCAAAUCAUCACGGCCCUUACGCCUUGGGCCACACACGUAAUACAAUGGCCGGUACAGAGGGCAGCUACUAUGCGAAUAGAUGCGAAUCUCGAAAGCCGGUCUCAGUUCGGAUUGGAGUCUGCAACUCGACUC
rnacentral:rRNA from 1 species